AGGAUAAACGCUGGCGGCGUGCCUAACACAUGCAAGUCGAACGCGCUUUCGGGCUUCGGUGCGAGAGCGAGUGGCGGACGGGUGAGUAACACAUGGGUACCUACCUUGGAGUGAGGGAUACCGGCGAGAAAUCGCCGACAAUACCGCAUAGGCUUCUUCACAAGGGAAGCAAAGUGACGCGAGUCACGCUGUGAGAUGGGCCUGUGGCCGAUUAGCUAGUUGGGGGGUAACGGCUUCCCAAGGCGACGAUCGGUAGCUGGUCUGAGAGGACGAUCAGCCACACUGGGAUUGAGAACGGCCCAGACUCCUACGGGGGCAGCAGUGAGGAAUUUUCCGCAAUGGAGGCAACUCUGACGGAGCAACGCCGCGUGCAGGAGGAAGGUUUUCGGAUCGGUAAACUGCUUUUCUCGGGGACGUAGCAAGGACGGUACCCGAGGAAGAGCCCGGCUAACUACGUGCCAGCGGCCGC
rnacentral:rRNA from 1 species